rnacentral:rRNA from 1 species
GAUCCUGGCUCAGGAUGAACGCUAGCUACAGGCUUAACACAUGCAAGUCGAGGGGCAGCAUGGUCUUAGCUUGCUAAGGCUGAUGGCGACCGGCGCACGGGUGAGUAACACGUAUCCAACCUGCCGUCUACUCUUGGCCAGCCUUCUGAAAGGAAGAUUAAUCCAGGAUGGGAUCAUGAGUUCACAUGUCCGCAUGAUUAAGGUAUUUCGUUCGACG